UGAAUUUACAAAAGUCAAAGACUCAAAGUGUUGGACAGUAUUCCAUGUGAUAUUUAUUAUAUUUUCUUAUUUUGAGAAAUAUUGUGCGAGGUUUUAAAAAUCAUAACGUGAAAUAUAUAUCAGUGAGCAUAUGGAAAUAUGACAACUGCAGCCAGACCGACAUUUGAGCCAGCCAGAGGAGGCAGAGGAAAGGGGGAAGGCGAUUUAUCAGCUUUGUCAAAACAAUAUUCUAGUAGAGAUUUACCUUCGCAUAAUAAACUUAAACGCAGG
rnacentral:lncRNA from 1 species